AUCCUGGCUCAGGACGAACGCUGGCGGCGUGCUUAACACAUGCAAGUCGAACGAGAAUCUGUGGAUCGAGGAUUCGUCCAAGUGAAGCAGAGGACAGUGGCGGACGGGUGAGUAACGCGUGAGGAACCUGCCUUUCAGAGGGGGACAACAGUUGGAAACGACUGCUAAUACCGCAUGACACAUAGAGAUCGCAUGGUUUUUAUGUCAAAGAUUUAUCGCUGAAAGAUGGCCUCGCGUCUGAUUAGCUAGUUGGUGAGGUAACGGCCCACCAAGGCGACGAUCAGUAGCCGGACUGAGAGGUUGACCGGCCACAUUGGGACUGAGAUACGGCCCAGACUCCUACGGGAGGCAGCAGUGGGGAAUAUUGGGCAAUGGGCGCAAGCCUGACCCAGCAACGCCGCGUGAAGGAAGAAGGCUUUCGGGUUGUAAACUUCUUUUACCAGGGACGAAGGACGUGACGGUACCUGGAGAAAAAGCCACGGCUAACUACGUGCCAGCAGCCGCGGUAAUACGUAGGUGGCAAGCGUUGUCCGGAUUUACUGGGUGUAAAGGGCGUGCAGCCGGGUCUGCAAGUCAGAUGUGAAAUCCAUGGGCUCAACCCAUGAACUGCAUUUGAAACUGUAGAUCUUGAGUGUCGGAGGGGCAAUCGGAAUUCCUAGUGUAGCGGUGAAAUGCGUAGAUAUUAGGAGGAACACCAGUGGCGAAGGCGGAUUGCUGGACGAUAACUGACGGUGAGGCGCGAAAGUGUGGGGAGCAAACAGGAUUAGAUACCCUGGUAGUCCACACUGUAAACGAUGAAUACUAGGUGUGCGGGGACUGACCCCCUGCGUGCCGCAGUUAACACAAUAAGUAUCCCACCUGGGGAGUACGAUCGCAAGGUUGAAACUCAAAGGAAUUGACGGGGGCCCGCACAAGCGGUGGAUUAUGUGGUUUAAUUCGAAGCAACGCGAAGAACCUUACCAGGGUUUGACAUCCUGCUAACGAAGUAGAGAUACAUUAGGUGCCCUUCGGGGAAAGCAGAGACAGGUGGUGCAUGGUUGUCGUCAGCUCGUGUCGUGAGAUGUUGGGUUAAGU
rnacentral:rRNA from 1 species